rnacentral:rRNA from 1 species
ACGAACGCUGGCGGCGUGCCUAAUACAUGCAAGUUGAGCGAUGAAGAUUGGUGCUUGCACCAAUUUGAAGAGCAGCGAACGGGUGAGUAACGCGUGGGGAAUCUGCCUUUGAGCGGGGGACAACAUUUGGAAACGAAUGCUAAUACCGCAUAAUAACUUUAAACAUAAGUUUUAAGUUUAAAGGUUCAAUUGCCAUCAUUCAAGGAUAUCCCGCGUUGUAUUAGCUAGUUGGGGAGGUAAAGGCUCACCAAGGCGAUGAUACAUAGCCGACCUGAGAGGGUGAUCGGCCACAUUGGGACUGAGACACGGCCCAAACUCCUACGGGAGGCAGCAGUAGGGAAUCUUCGGCAAUGGACGAAAGUCUGACCGAGCAACGCCGCGUGAGUGAAGAAGGUUUUCGGAUCGUAAAACUCUGUUGGUAGAGAAGAACGUUGGUGAGAGUGGAAAGCUCAUCAAGUGACGGUAACUACCCAGAAAGGGACGGCUAACUACGUG